rnacentral:rRNA from 1 species
GACGAAUGCUGGCGGCGUGCCUAAUACAUGCAAGUUGAGCGCUGAAGGUUGGUACUUGUACCAACUGGAUGAGCAGCGAACGGGUGAGUAACGCGUGGGGAAUCUGCCUUUGAGCGGGGGACAACAUUUGGAAACGAAUGCUAAUACCGCAUAAAAACUUUAAACACAAGUUUUAAGUUUGAAAGAUGCAAUUGCAUCACUCAAAGAUGAUCCCGCGUUGUAUUAGCUAGUUGGUGAGGUAAAGGCUCACCAAGGCGAUGAUACAUAGCCGACCUGAGAGGGUGAUCGGCCACAUUGGGACUGAGACACGGCCCAAACUCCUACGGGAGGCAGCAGUAGGGAAUCUUCGGCAAUGGACGAAAGUCUGACCGAGCAACGCCGCGUGAGUGAAGAAGGUUUUCGGAUCGUAAAACUCUGUUGGUAGAGAAGAACGUUGGUGAGAGUGGAAAGCUCAUCAAGUGACGGUAACUACCCAGAAAGGGACGGCUAACUACGU